CCUGGCCGACUUCCUGACAGAAACCUCAAGAUAUAUCCUGAGGCACGACUAUCCAGUUAAGUUUCUCCUGGGUUCCCACAGAAAUUGGCAAGGCAUCGUCUUAGCCCUCAAGGAUACAGGCAAACACAAAACCAAGUCCCUGCCUCCAAGGAGUUUAAUAUUCUACUGGAUGAUACAGAAAUACACAAGUAAUUACAAAUAAUUUGUCAGGUCACUCACUCUUGGGGAAGCCAGCUGCCAUAUUGUGAGCCACCUUAUGAAGAGGUCCACAGGCUAUGACAAGGAAUGAGGACCUGCAGUCCAAGGCCCAUGAGGAGCCGAAGCCUGUGACAGCCACAUGACUGAUCUUGGAAGUAGAUCCUCGUGCCCUAGCCAAAUCUUCAGAUGACUGAAGCCCUGAUCAACAAGUGGACUAUUACUUCGCAAGGAUCUUUGAGCCAGAGGCACCCAACUAAACUGCUCUGGGUUUCCUGGGGCACCUGGGUGGCUCAGUCAGUUAAGUGCCUGACUCGACUUUGGCUCAGGUCAUGAUCUCACAGUUUGU